rnacentral:lncRNA from 1 species
UUUUUUGAAUCUCUAUUUUAUUAAUUUCCUCUCUGAUCUUUAUGAUUUCCUUUCUUUUGCUGACUUUAGGGUUUUUUUUUUUUCUUCUUUUUCUAAUUCUAGGUGGUGUGUUAAGUUGUUGAUUUGAGAUUUUUAUUCUUUUUUGAGGAAGGCCUGUCUUGAAAUGAACUUUCCCUCUAGGCACUGCUUUUUGUGGCAUCCCAUAGAUUUUGAAUGGUUGUGUUUUCAUUAUCAUUUGUCUCAAGGUAUUUUUUAAUUUCCUUUUUGACUUCCUCAUUGAUUCAUUGGUUUUUUAGUAGCAUGUUGUUUGGUCUCCAUGUAGUCAGUUUUUUCUCAUUUCUUUUCCCGUAGUUGAUUUCUACUUUCAUGCCAUUGUGGUUACUUGAAAUAAUAUCUAUACUUUUAAAUUUGUUAAGAUUACUUUUUUUAUGCCCCAGUAUGUGGUCAAUUCUCGAGAAUAUUCCAUAUGCACUUGAAAAGAAAGUAUAUUCUGAUUUUUUUAGAUAUAACGUCCUGAAAAUGUCAACUAAGUCUAACUUUUCUAUUGUGUCCUUUAGGAUCUCUGUUGCCUUAUUGAUUUUCUGUCUAGAGGAUCUGUCAGUAAAUGUGAGUGAAGUGUUAGAGUCUCCUACUAUUAUUGUAUUCACAUUAAUUUCUUCUUUUAUGUCUGCUGGUAUUUGCUGUAUGUAUCUGGGUGCUCCCAUAUGAGGGCAUAUAUAUUGACAAUUGUAAUACCCCCUUUCUUGACUGGAUCCUUUUAUAAUUAAAUAGUGUUCUUCUUUGUAUUUUUUAUGGCCUUUGUUUUAAAGUCUAUUUUGUCUGAUAUGAGUAUUGCAACUCCUGCUUUCCUGUCUUUUCCAUUGCCAUGACGUAUCUUUUCCGAUCCUCUCACUUUCAAUUUAUAUGUAUCUUUGCCCUAAGGUGAGUCUUUUGUAAACAGCAUAUUGUAGGCUCUUGCUUUUUUAAUCCAAUCUGCCACUCUAUGUCUUUUGAUUGGAGCAUUCAGUCCAUUGACAUUUAAGGUAAUUACUCAUAAAUAUGUCUUUGUUGCCAUUUUAAACCUAUUUUUCCAGUGAUUCUAUGUUUCUCCUUUGUUCCUUUCUUUUUUUUUGGUUGGAUGAUUUCCUUUUGUUUUAUGCUUGUGCCCUUUUGUUUUUAGUUUUUGUGAAUGUAAUGUUUGGUUUGAUUUGUAGUUGCCCUGUUUUUCAAGUAUGUUAACCCCUUCCUAUAUCUGCUUGCUUUAGCCUGAUCGUCAUAUAGGCUCAAACACAUUCUAAAAGAGUCUAGAUUUUCUUACUUUUCCUUCUCUACAUUUUAUGAUUU